rnacentral:misc_RNA from 1 species
AAUUUUCCUCCAUUCUGCAAAUCACAAGCAGAUAGAUAUUUAGCCGCCAUGAUUGUCUGCUUCUCGCCAUACCUCAAUGGCGAGAGAGCCGUGGUUAUACUUUUCAUCGGUUGUGUGCUCUUCUCUCUCCCACUCUCUCUACUCCUCCACGGCGUCGCUCUCUCUCUCCUCGCUAUCUUCGCUCUCUACGUCGAGAUACGAGUGGAUAUUUCCUCCUCCUCCAUUUCUCAAUUCAAAACCAGGCCUGGUGCUUCCUCGGGGAUUUUGCUUGGUGCGGUCACAUUAUCUGCUGUUAUGCUCUCUAAGUUGAUACAGCUGUCAAGAGCCUUCUCAUUUCAUGAAAUUGAAUCUGAAGAACUUAAUUAUCUGGCGAUCCAGUACUGGGC